rnacentral:lncRNA from 1 species
AUGUCUUUAAGAGAUGUGCCUUGUGAGGAGGGGCAGUGCUGUGCUCUGAAAUCCUCACCGUGCGGGCUGCCUGCCCGGCGCGUUGCAGAAGGCUUCUGGAAAUCCAGGCUGGGAGUCGCGGUACGGCUGGUGCCACAGCCACACGCGUCUCCUCUCUGCUCCGAUCCGUGUCUCAGGAGGCAUUUCAGGAAUCCCGUGACUUUUGAUGGCAUCAAUAAAUCAGACAGCACGCUGACAGAAUUUCCCUGGAAUGUAAACAGACAUUUAGGGGAACGUCUGUGCUUAGGGAGGGGAGCGCAGGUACAGCUCCCGCAGCACGCGGGAUGUUGAAGUGCCGUGCCUGCUUGCGGCUCUGUUGGUAAAUAGGAGCCCUGAGUGUUUUCCAUGCUAACAAAAAUAACUGUCAAUAUUUAUCACGAAGUGACCUUACUUCCCUCUCCUCUCUCCAAACAGCAUGUUUUCAGAGGAGAGGUGAGACGAGCAGCUCUGCCUGAUGUAGGGGAAAGGGGAGGAAUGUCUCUGUAUGGUAAAAUUGGCUGAUAAGGGAUAAUGAAUCACCUCUAACUCGGCUCUGCUCAGCAGUAGCUGAUCUGGAGAGCUGCAGGCUGCUCAGCCUCGCCUCAGUCCCUGGGAAAAGCAUGGAGCUGAUCCUCCCCAAGGAUGUUUCCAGGCACAGGUAGGACGGGAAGGGAACUGGGAACGCUGACGGGGGCUUACCAAGAGCAAACCGUGCCUGAGCAGGCUCCUUCCUCCUGGGCCGGGAUGGCUGGGCCCCCAGACGAGGGGAGAGCUGACUGCCAUGUACCGUAACCUUAAGCAAGACUUUUGACACAGUCUGGCGUGCCAAUAUUUUGGCCAAAUGGGGAAAUGUGAGUGAAAAACUAGCUCUGUCUGGCUCAGAGGGUGGCAGUCGGUAGGUGAAAGGCUGAUGGGUGGCCGGGUAUCGAGGGGACCUGUGCAGGGUCGGUGCAGGGGCAGUGCUGCUCGGUGCUGGCACCAGCCAGGGCACAGCGGGGUGUGUGUCUGACCGGCUGGUGAGGUUCUGGAGGGCACGGGAGGACCUCAGUGACCAGAAGGGAAGGAUCGACUGAAACCUCCAGGUUCAACAGAGAGCAGCUGUGGUGCAGGGCCCUGCUGAAAUGCUGCGGGGCUCUGCUGAGCCUGGGGAGCGCGACGGCUCCUCGGGGCGGUGCGGGGAGGCUGGGGGCUCCAACGCCUGCCAGGCGAGGACAGGCCGAGGGGAUUGCGGUUGUUUAGCUUGGAGAAGAGGAGGCUAAGUGGGGAUUAACGGCCGGCCUGCCAGUCCUUUAAGAGUGGUUCUAGGAACAAAUGGAGCCGGACUCUUUGGGGGUGUGUGGCAAAAGGUCAAGACAGCGAUGGCAGGUUGCAGCGAUGGGAAUUCCUGCUGGAUGCUCUGAGGGGAUGAAGGUGUUCUCGGGAGUGAUGCAGUACUGGUGUCUGGAGAGGCCGUGGAGCCUGUAUCCUUGGAGGUUUUCAAAGCUUUGGUGAAGGGACCCCUGGGUGAGCUGAUCCAGCCUUGAGAAUGGGUCUGCUUCCAGUGGAAGGGCACCAGGUGAGCAGCAGAGGCCUUCCAGUCUCCCGAUGGCUGUACGGGUGUGAUUGUGCCCCUGCUGACUGGGGGGUUCCUGCAGCUGCUCAGGGUGCCUUGUGCUGUACUCCUGUGUGCGAUGUGCUGGGCUGCCAAACUCGUGCACCGAUACCUUCAAAGCCCAAUGCGAUGUCCCAGGUUCAGGCUAAGUUCAUUUCUAGGAGUAUCCCCCGCGCACCCCUUCAAUUAGCAUAAACGGGGACAAGGGCAGGCAAAGGUCAAGAGGAGUUCAGAACAGCAUAACCUCUUUUUGCUGGCAUUUCCCAACGUUGCUCAUCCUGCAAAGCUCUCCUCGCUCCCAUCGCCAUCGUGUUUACUAUCCAGCUGUAAAAGUGGGAGAACAAGGCCCGGCUUGAUACAAGGGAAGUUCGAAAUCGAGCGGUUGAGAAUAGGUAGCAUUGUUGCUUAAAACAGGAGAAAUAAUUGAUUUAUGUUAUGGUGGCCAAUUAGGCUGUAAAGUGGGAAACUCUUAAAGCAACCCUGUGGCUUCAAGGCAGCCUUUGCUCUGAUUUCUGCCCAGCAAAUAGGGGGUACCCCAAUAAAGGUCAUCAGCUCCAUGAGCUAAAUUAUUAAUUCCUUUCAUGCCACUCAGGGCUUGUAAACAGUAUAUAAUCCAAGAAAACAAUUGGCACUGUUCACUUACUGGGCAGAGGAAAGGUCAGAGGGUAAAUAGUUGUAUUGGCACCAGCUGCUCCUCAUAGCUGAGCAGACUUUUGUCCUUUUCAUCUGGUAGAGCAAACCUGUUUCCAAAGCUGUAGCCGGUUGUUGAUCCAUAUCUCCUCUCUUAGCUGAGCUGCUGUUAGGAGCCUAAUGUUGCAUAUAAUUAUGACAAAAAAAGGGCUGGAGGGGAGGGAUGUGCAUGAGAACCAGCAUUGCUGUGCUUCGUAAAGAGCUGCUUGAAAUACUGAACGUGCUAGUUUAUGUGAAUAGGGGGCAUUUUAUAAUUCACCUAUUUGAGGCAAGUUGGUGCUUUUUUGGGGUCUCGGCUCACCGUGUUCCUGCUGGGAUGGCGUUGUGGGGCUCACAGCAGGGCUUGGCCGAACACGGAGGCGAUCCCAGUAACUUCAGAGCUGGCACCAGGAGAGCUGUGACCGGUGUGCUGGCCGUGGUGAAUGUUGGUAAUUAAAAAAUCAAUGUAAUGUCAAGCAGGAGCUGAAAUUACCCUUUCGAGUGUAGCCAGCAAGUGUUGCAUUUCUGUUGUCUGCGACUUUCCAUGUGGCUCUGUAGCAGUGUGGGAGUACAGGACUUGAGCCUACGCCAGCUCCCUGGUGACACGCUCACCGCUCAGAAUUACUCUUCUGAAGGCACGCGUGUUGUUUGGUUGCUUUUUGAAUGAUAUUUGAUAAAUUAUUCCAGAUGUUGGCAGGUGUAGCUUACUGCCCGAAGUGC